GGUGAUUUUUGUGCUGCAGGCUGGAUAAAAUGAGCGAAGAGUUCUGUCUGCUUCAGGAGGAAUUCAAAUCUUUUUGCACGAUCUGCUUUCAUCUUCUCUUCAUAUUCUGGGUCAACCUCUUUUUCAGGCCUGGCUGCCUUUGGAGGAAGUUUGAGUUGAAACGGAGGAUCAUUUUUCUCCUCGGCGCCGGGCUCCUGCGCGGAGGCCGCGGACGUGGAGGGCACUUCGCCAUCCGAUCGGGCAGAGGCGGCCGCGGGUCCCUGCUCCAUUUUGUGCG
rnacentral:lncRNA from 1 species